rnacentral:rRNA from 1 species
UACGUAGGGUGCAAGCGUUAAUCGGAAUUACUGGGCGUAAAGCGUGCGCAGGCGGUUCGCUAAGACAGAUGUGAAAUCCCCGGGCUUAACCUGGGACUGCAUUUGUGACUGGCGGGCUAGAGUAUGGCAGAGGGGGGUAGAAUUCCACGUGUAGCAGUGAAAUGCGUAGAGAUGUGGAGGAAUACCGAUGGCGAAGGCAGCCCCCUGGGCCAAUACUGACGCUCAUGCACGAAAGCGUGGGGAGCAAACAGG